CUGAUCGCUACCUCUUCUACGGUAAGCAGAUCAUCUCGAUUCAUCGACCCCAAUUGUCUUGUUGCACCUCAUUGACGGCUACAGCGUCCGGUUGUAUGUUGCUGCGACUUGUUGUACUCCGUUGAGUCAAUAAGCCAUAACCUCGCCGACGACACCGCAAUCCUUGCGGGGGACCACCAAGUCCCAUUGCUCAGGGAGGAGCUACAUGUGAGCGGCCGCAGAACCACCUAACCGCCUCUUCGCGCAUUUGUCCUAAGACCCCGCUGAUCCAACACCGCAAGGAUUGCGGACGGACGAUGAUUAUCGUCCGCUAGCGAAAGGAUUUCGCUUAGAUCAUGGUGG
rnacentral:misc_RNA from 1 species